CAAAGAACUGGUGGAGUAGGAAGUGGAGAUAAUUCUGCUGCAUUCUGAAAACCACACCAUUAAAACAGAUUAAUUCCUGGUGUUCAGAGAACCAUUUACAUUGCUGAUGAAUUCAUUACUUGUGCCACAAUGCUUUCUUACCCAUUGCUUGGCUGAAAAGAAAAAAAAAGUCUCAAACCCCGUACCACACCAAGGAACUCCCACACUCUGAAUGAACAGCCCAGUGAUCAGGAGCUUUGAAUCAAUUCUUGGCACCUAACACUUUGUGAAGAGUCUG
rnacentral:lncRNA from 1 species